rnacentral:rRNA from 1 species
CAAUAGCGUAUAUUUAAGUUGUUGCAGUUAAAAAGCUCGUAGUCGGAUUUUGGCUGAGAACGAUCGGUCCGCCGUUAGGUGUGCACUGAUUGGUCUCAGCUUCCUGGUGAGGAGGUGUGCUUCACGGCCACUUAGUCACCGUGGUUACUUUGAAAAAAUUAGAGUGUUCAGAGCGGGCUUACGCUUGAAUAUAUUAGCAUGGAAUAACACCAUAGGACUCCUGUCCUAUUUCGUUGGUCACGGGACGGGAGUAAUGAUUAAGAGGAACAGUUGGGGGCAUUCGUAUUUCAUUGUCAGAGGUGAAAUUCUUGGAUUUAUGAAAGACGAACUUCUGCGAAAGCAUUUGCCAAGGAUGUUUUCAUUGA